rnacentral:rRNA from 1 species
UACGUAUGGGGCAAGCGUUAUCCGGAUUUACUGGGUGUAAAGGGAGCGUAGGCGGCAGGGCAAGCCUGAUGUGAAAGCCCGGGGCUCAACCCCGGGACUGCAUUGGGAACUGCCCCGCUCGAGUGCCGGAGGGGCAGGCGGAAUUCCUAGUGUAGCGGUGAAAUGCUUAGAUAUCACGAAGAACCCCGAUUGCGAAGGCAGCCUGCCGCAGCGUUACUGACGCUGAAGCUCGAAAGCGCGGGUAUCGAACAGG